rnacentral:rRNA from 1 species
CAAGUCGAACGCGAAAGUUCCCUUCGGGGAGCGAGUAGAGUGGCGCACGGGUGAGUAACACGUAGGUAAUCUACCUUUGGAUGGGGAAUAACAACCGGAAACGGUUGCUAAUACCGCAUAAUGCAGCGGCACCUAAUGGUGACAGUUGUUAAAGCGGGGGAUCGUAAGACCUCGCGUCUAAAGAGGAGCCUGCGGCAGAUUAGCUAGUUGGUAAGGUAACGGCUUACCAAGGCGAUGAUCUGUAGCCGGCCUGAGAGGGCGGUCGGCCACACUGACACUGACAUACGGGUCAGACUCCUACGGGAGGCAGCAGUCGGGAAUUUUGGGCAAUGGGCGAAAGCCUGACCCAGCAACGCCGCGUGAAGGAUGAAAUCCUUCGGGAUGUAAACUUCGCAAGAACAGGAAGAAUAAACCGGUGACAAUACCACCGGCGAUGACGGUACUGUUUGUAAGCUCCGGCUAACUCCGUGCCAGCAGCCGCGGUAAUACGGGGGGAGCAAGCGUUGUUCGGAUUUACUGGGCGUAAAGGGCGGGUAGGCGGCCACCGCAAGUCAGUUGUGAAAUCUCUGGGCUUAACCCAGAAAGGUCAACUGAUACUGCGGGGCUAGAGUGCAGAAGGGGCAACUGGAAUUCUCGGUGUAGCGGUGAAAUGCGUAGAUAUCGAGAGGAACACCUGCGGCGAAGGCGGGUUGCUGGGCUGACACUGACGCUGAACUGCGAAAGCUAGGGGAGCGAACGGGAUUAGAUACCCCGGUAGUCCUAGCCUUAAACGAUGAAUGCUUGGUGUCUGGGGUUUAUAGUCCCCGGGUGCCGUCGCUAACGCUUUAACGUUCCGCCUGGGGAGUCGGUCGCAAGACUGAACUC